GAUUAACGCUGGCGGCGUGCAUAACACAUGCAAGUCGAACGAUGAAACUUAUUUGACUUCUUCGGAAAGACACUAAUUUGUUUAUUGGUGAACGGGUGAGUAAUACGGGAUUAACCUGCCUUCCACAAGAGGAUAGCCUUUGUUAAAGACGAAUAAUACUCCCUAAUACCAUAAAAGCACAUGCUAAAAUGGUCAAAGUAAUAGCGGUGUAAGAUGGACUUGCGUCUUAUUAUCUAGUUGUUGAGAUAAAAGCUCACCAAGACAACGAUCAGUACCCGGCUGGAGAGAGUGUCCGGCAAAAUUGGGACGGAGCCACGGCCAAGCCCCCUCCGGGAGGAAGCAGGGGGGAAAUUUGACAAAUGGGGGAAACCCUAAUGCAGCGACGCCGCGUGAUUUAGAAGGACUUCGGGUUGUAAAAAUCUUUUGUAUAGGAAGAAAAUGACAGUACUAUACGAAUAAGGUCCGGCUAAUUACGUG
rnacentral:rRNA from 1 species